rnacentral:lncRNA from 1 species
AACUAAUAUUUUAUAAAAUAAAUUAAUCAAAUCUUCUAAAUUAUUAGGUUCAUAAAAUAAGCUAGUUAUGUGGAUAACUAGAUUAUAGCCCCCCAUUAAGGUGCGUGAUAAUUAGUCCAAUAUUCCAAAUAGACAUUGGAGGCCCCACACACCUGGUGUCUAUUGUAUAUUGAAAUUAUCAUCCAUUAUAUGAUCAUCUUAUUAUACCUUU